CAAUAGCGUAUAUUAAAGUUGUUGCGGUUAAAAAGCUCGUAGUUGGAUUUCAGUUCUGGACUGACGGUUCACCGCCCGGUGCAUACUGUCACGCUCCGAACAGCCACAACAGCCCGCUGGCUCGCACGGGGUGCUCUUCAUCGAGUGUCCCGCGUGGCCGGCAGAGUUUACUUUGAAAAAAUUAGAGUGCUCAAAGCAGGCUACACUGACGGCCUGAAUGCCUAUGCAUGGAAUAAUGGAAUAGGACCUCGGUUCUAUUUUGUCGGUUUUCUGAACCCGAGGUAAUGACUAAUAGGAACAGGCGGGGGCAUUCGUAUUGCGACGCUAGAGGUGAAAUUCUUGGACCGUCGCAAGACGAACUACUGCGAAAGCAUUUGCCAAGGAUGUUUUCAUUAAUCAAGAACGAAAGUUAGAGGUU
rnacentral:rRNA from 1 species